GUUACCUGGUGUCCUGCUCGUGGCGUCCUAGUGGCUUCCUCCGAUUGGUUUGUGUUAUUUUGUUACUUUGGAAUCACCUUGGUUUAAUGGAAGGCAUGCUUUUGUUAUAUCAUCGUCUGCUGAACUGCUUUUGGGUCCUCCCCUACACCACAACGUGACAGUACAACCCGACCAGGUAUGGCCCCAGCAGUUACCAUGGAGGAGGAACUCUAUGACCUCUCCUACACACUGAUGUAUAUGAGCCAAUGAGUGGAGGAGAGCUUCCGGUUGGGGGUCGAACAGGCUGCCCUAAGAUUGGCUUCAGAAUUUCCUUAAUACUCCUCACACAAUGUGAACCGGGGGAUCUUGAGCCUGCAACCCGCCGGCUCCAGCCCCUGACCCAUUCCUGGGUACUCUCCUGGCCCUGGGAGGUCCGCGGAGUGUCCAGAUCACCACCAGCUGAUUUCUCCUAAUAAGGUGAAGUGUCUGUUGUGUUCAAAAUAACUUGGAUACAACAAUAACACCUCAUCGACACUGAAUAGAGCCCUGCAUGAAAACAAGGAGACCAACCAAGGUGGACCAAGAUCAGGACAGAAGAAUGAUGUGGAUGAGGCCUUGGUCAAUAUGGCUUUGAAAGCUAUGGUGGAGGACAGAUGCAAGGAAUCCAAGGAGAAAGCCAAAGCUAUUGUGUCGAAGGCAUCUGCAGUUAGUUUAACAUCAUCAUAUGUGGACCUCUAUCAACAUUGAUGCGUAUCUAGCUGUGACAUGCCAUUUUAUAGAUGCAAGCACCUCUUUGUAUUCUUGUUUUAGGGGUAGGGGUUUAGGGGCACAAGUAAAAGCAGCACUUAUGUCACAGUGGGGUAUUACACACAAAGUUACUUGCCUUGUGACUGAUGGCGCAGCAAAUAUGGGUGCUUGUGCCAGGGAGUUUCGUUUGCAUCACACAAUUUGUGCAGCGCAUACAUUGAAUCUUGACCAAAACACUGUUGUCUGACAUCUGGGCAAACUCCAGGAAGAUAGUGGGCUAUUUCAAGAGCAGCACCACUACAAAGGAGAGGCUGACACGGGUGCAGGAGCAAAUGGGCUGGCCGGCACUGAAGCUGAUUCAAGAAGUUGAUUCACGCUGGAAUAGCACAUACCAGGCUCGUUUAAUUUUUUUAAUAAAUAAAGAAAGAAAAACAAGCUCAAAAUUGUCUGAGCCAUAUGGCGUCAUCGAAAGAGCCAUAGGUUCCCGACCCCUGCCCUAAACAGGAAGUCGGCCAUCUUGAAUGCAAUGUUCAAUAUUUGGCGAUAUUCUGCGGUUUACAGGUGACAUACUUUAAUAAACUCCUCCUAAAGAUUUCAUCCAAUCGACUUCAAAUUUGGUCAGUAUUAUCUAAAGACCUUCAGGAUGAAAACAUAACUAAAGCUUUCAUUUUCGAAGGAACGCCCUUGCCGUGGCGUUGCUGCCAUUUUGAGCAAUUUACCAAAAAAGAGGAAGUUGUUGUCACUUCAGCAAACAUUCUCCUACCUCCUCCAAAUUUCGUAUUAUAAGAUUAAUAAGAGUCGCGGCCUGCAGACAUCCAGGUGCAAAUAUUGACUUAUAGUAGAGUCAAAGUGCCACCUACUGGCAACAGGAAGUUACAGUUGCUAUACUUUGGCAUAGUGCUCUUAGCAGGAUAACCAGAUCACCCUUAUAAUUAGUCAGCUCAAUGUUAAGACCUUCCCCUUGGCAGACUGCAAAGCCUUUGCGUUUUCAUGGAACGCUGUUGCCGUGGCAUCAUUCGCCUUGAAACAUGAGGUUGUUUUUAGGGUCAAAGGAUUUCUGAAAACAGACAAACCUUAGCACACACAUUAACAGUGAUAAAAUGUGUAAACUGAUACGUUUUUUGGGAUUGGGUGUCGUUCAUUAGCGCCCCCUAACAGCCAUCGCGGUAGGUUUCACCUAGAUGUACGAAAUUUGCCAGGCACGUGUAUCUUAUUUAAACUUUGUUUUAAAAGGUAUGGGGCUAUAAUUUUAGAAUUUUCAAUUUAGUGUGAUUAUUUUUUUGUUUGCAUUUUAAGGAAUUUUAGGGCAAUUUUUGCCGUCUGCAGGCUCCGUACUUUAACUAUUUCCUCCUAAAGUGUUUACCCGAUUGACUUCCAAUUUAGUGAGUGUAAUCUUGAGACCUUUCUGAGCAAACAAUAUUGAAAAUCUCGAGUUUACGCUGAACUAUUUAGCCGUUCUGUGGUGGUCAAAUAGUUCAAAUAGUUAAAACAGGAAAUUGUUGAGCAUGGAAUAUACACUCCAAAUUUCUUGUGCUUGAUUUACAACCAAUAUUUACGCACAGUCAUAGCGCCACCUCAUGGCAACAGGUAGUUACCCUUAUGUGACAAAAAUCAUCCCAUUGACAUGACACUUACAGUCUGGUCUACACCUGAGGUGCGAGUACGAUUACUACGUGCUCUCUAGUGCCACAUAGUGGACACAGGAAGUGACCUCAGCUAACGGCCUGACGUGCGCAUAGCGUGAGGGCCAACUCAUCGUUGCUUGUAACUUUCAUUUUAUUUGUUUUUAAAGCACUACAUGGACACUCUGGGUUCUUUGUAUUUUAUUAAGUUAUUUGUGCAAUACUGAUAUGUUAUGUUUUUAUCAUGAUAUUGUAUGCUUUUACUAAUUUACUUAUAUUCUGUUAUCUAAGUCAGUGUUUUUAUUGGACUAUUCCUUCCUUUCUCCUUUUUUUAAAUGUGCUCUAUGAAUAAACUUGACUUGACACACA